AUGGCUAUCCGCACGAGACAAACGUCUGAGCGCGGGUUUAAUUUGUUUUUGCGGAGCAUGGACGACGGGGACAUAGAUUUCACCAAUCCGGAGACGUAUUUUUGCCCGGCCAUGGGCACCGAUCCCCACGACAGCUGCUCCAUCUCCAUGGACAGCUACUUCGACGACAUUCUCAAAGACACGGAGACGGAGCAUCUCGCAUGUACUCACACCCACGCCAGCUGCAACCCGCAUGUAUGCCAUGACCUUGCCCACCACACCCAGACCUGCGUCCAUGUCCACACCAAGAUCCUCCGGGAGGAGUCGGACGAUGUCGCCCAGACCUCGGAGUCGCCGCAAGAGACCGACGGCCCAAAGAAGAAGCGCCCGCCGGGUAACCGGGCAGCUGUGAGGAAGUACCGUGAGAAGAAGAAGGCCCACACGACGCUGCUGGAGGAGGAGGUGGCUCGCCUCAAGGCUCUAAACAGGUAG
rnacentral:rRNA from 1 species